UACGUAGGGCGCAAGCGUUAUCCGGAAUUAUUGGGCGUAAAGAGCUUGUAGGCGGUUUGUCGCGUCUGCUGUGAAAUUUCGGGGCUCAACCCCGAACUUGCAGUGGGUACGGGCAGACUAGAGUGUGGUAGGGGAGACUGGAAUUCCUGGUGUAGCGGUGAAAUGCGCAGAUAUCAGGAGGAACACCGAUGGCGAAGGCAGGUCUCUGGGCCACUACUGACGCUGAGGAGCGAAAGCGUGGGGAGCGAACAGG
rnacentral:rRNA from 1 species